UGACCUCAAAUCAGGUAAGAAUACCCGCUGAACUUAAGCAUAUCAAUAAGCGGAGGAAAAGAAAAUAACAAUGAUUCCUUUAGUAACCGCGAGUGAAGAGGGAAAAGCUCAAAUUUUAAAUCUGUUAGGUUUACCUGACCGAGUUGUAAUUUGAAGAAGCGUUUUCUGCGAUUUUGGUUAGUCCAAAUCCUUUGGAACCGGGUAUCAUGGAGGGUGAGAAUCCCGUUCGAUUAACCAAAGCGCUUUACGAUACGCUUUCAAAGAGUCAAGUUGUUUGGGAUUGCAGCUUAAAAUGGGAGGUAAAUUUCUCCUAAGGCUAAAUAUUGGCGAGAGACCGAUAGCGAACAAGUACCGUGAGGGAAAGAUGAAAAGAACUUUGAAAAGAGAGUUAAACAGUACGUGAAAUUGUUGAAAGGGAAACGAUUAAAGUCAGUCGUACCUACGAGUAAUCAACCUACACGAGCGCGAUUUUGUGGGUAUGAAGAGGUAAAAACCUUCAUGCUUGCUAAUUGGUGUUCUUUGGGCGUACCUUCUCGUAUGGUAGGUUAACAUCAAUUUCGAUCGUUAUAAAAUGACGGGAGGAAUGUAGCUUCGACUUCGGUUGAAGUGUUAUAGCCUCUGGUAGAUGUAAUGAUUGGGAUUGAGGAUUGCAACGGAUACCCUCUGGGCUAUUCGUCUGAUCUCUGGAAGUUACCUUGGUGUCGAAAGCGUGCUUAUGACAUUAAGAAUGACGGCCAAAAGGUUAGAACGGAAUUAAAUUCGUUAAGGAUGUCGACGUAAUGGCUUUAAACGACCCGUCUUGAAACACGGACCAAGGAGUCUAACAUAUG
rnacentral:rRNA from 1 species